GACGAACGCUGGCGGCGUGCCUAAUACAUGCAAGUUGAGCGCUGAAGGUUGGUACUUGUACCAACUGGAUGAGCAGCGAACGGGUGAGUAACGCGUGGGGAAUCUGCCUUUGAGCGGGGGACAACAUUUGGAAACGAAUGCUAAUACCGCAUAAAAACUUUAAACACAAGUUUUAAGAUUGAAAGAUGCAAUUGCAUCACUCAAAGAUGAUCCCGCGUUGUAUUAGCUAGUUGGUGAGGUAAAGGCUCACCAAGGCGAUGAUACAUAGCCGACCUGAGAGGGUGGUCGGCCACAUUGGGACUGAAGCACGGCCCAAACUCCUACGGGAGGCAGCAGUAGGGAAUCUUCGGCAAUGGACGAAAGUCUGACCGAGCAACGCCGCGUGAGUGAAGAAGGUUUUCGGAUCGUAAAACUCUGUUGGUAGAGAAGAACGUUGGUGAGAGUGGAAAGCGCAUCAAGUGACGGUAACUACCCAGAAAGGGACGGCUAACUACGUG
rnacentral:rRNA from 1 species